rnacentral:rRNA from 1 species
UACGGAGGGGGCUAGCGUUGUUCGGAAUUACUGGGCGUAAAGGGCGCGUAGGCGGACUCUUAAGUCGGUGGUGAAAUCCUGGAGCUCAACUCCAGAACUGCCUUCGAUACUGGGAGUCUCGAGUUCGGGAGAGGUGAGUGGAACUGCGAGUGUAGAGGUGAAAUUCGUAGAUAUUCGCAAGAACACCAGUGGCGAAGGCGGCUCACUGGCCCGAUACUGACGCUGAGGUGCGAAAGCGUGGGGAGCAAACAGG